AAAAAGAUAAGCUAAAAAAGCUAAUGGGUUCAUACCCCAUUCAUAAAGGUUUUUAAUCCUUUUCUUUUUA
rnacentral:tRNA from 1 species